AGAAAUGGGCUGCUAUUAUCUGAGUGACAUGCAGAAAUAGACUGCCACUUCCCAAUACUUGAACACCGCCGUCUCGUCUCCGACAGAAGCAUAAACAUGAACCAACAAACAGAAACAGAAACAGAAACGAACUACUUCUCCAAAGAUUUUGAAUGGGAAACGCUUCAACAACAAAUAGAAACCAAUCCUUCUUUCAAAUUCCAUUUACUUCCUUUCAUUUCAUCUCCUACAAAUCAAGAACAAGAAACCGGUGAUUCCAAGGCGUGGCAGAGGUUCCAUAUCCGCCACUCCACCGGAAAAUUCUUCAAGGAGAGAAAAUACUUAUUGAAGGAGUUUCCCGAGUUAGUUUCUUGCCAAGAUUUUCCUAAAGUUUUAGAGGUUGGCUGUGGCAAUGGCAGUUCUGUAAUUCCAAUCUUACGUGGCAACAAAAGCAUAUAUGUUUAUGCUUGUGAUUGUAGCAAUGAGACACUCGGUAGAGCAAAAGCCAUUGUUGAUGCUUCUGAUAUAGUCUCUGUACAACAACGGUUUAAGGCUUUCUAUGCUGAUUUUGCUGUCACUGGAUUUCCUAAGUGGUUGCUUUGCCAUUCUUGCCGGGGAGUUCUCCCUCAAAAGCAGUCGGAAUGCUUGUCUUCAGAUGUUAAAGAGAAAAGUACAACAGAUGUAAUUGGAUCAUGCUCGUUGGGAGAAGGUAGUUGUUGCAUUGGUGGAGUUGAUUUUGUUACCUUGAUAUUUACAUUAUCAGCUGUGCCACUUAAAAGGAUGCCAACAGCUAUCUCUGAUUGCCUUUCUGUAUUGAAGCCUGGCGGCCUACUCUUGUUUAGGGAUUAUGGUCUCUAUGAUAUGACCAUGCUGCGAUUUGAGCCACACAAAAGAGUGGGGUUCCGAGAAUACAUGCGAGGUGAUGGUACUCGCUCUUAUUUCUUCUCUUUAGAGACUGUUAGGGAUCUUUUUGUUGGUGCAGGCUUCGUUGAGCUCGAGCUCGAGUAUUGCUGUGUUAAUUCUGUGAACCGCCGAAAAGGGAAGAGCAUGCAAAGGGUUUGGGUUCAUGGGAAGUUCCAGAAGCCCAUAUGAAGCAGCACUAAAAUAUAUAUUCUUUCUUUAAGGUGACUUGGAUGUCCUUUGGUGACUCCAUUGCAUUGUCAGCUCAAGGGCCAAACUGAACUUAAUUGAUCCAUAAUGGCAUCACAGGAUAUGUGCAAGUUGUAACCCUUUUCAGUCUAGGGACUACCGAAUUCGGGGCGGGUUUUAGGGAGUUGCAAAAACCGAAAAACGCCCUCAUAUUUAAUUUUAAUCUCCUCAACUCAUCAUAUGUUUUAAGUUCGAGUCAGAAAGUCAACAACAUUUACAUAUUGAAUAAAAUGGGGGCCAUUUCCUUAGAAUUAUCACCCAAAUUCAGCAACCCAUUUGUCUGUUUCUUACAUUGGAUAAUUGAUUAGUAUGCUUUAGUAUCAUAUUUAAUUGAUCAAGUGAUUCAUGUGACUUGUUAAUUAAUUUUGUUUGUUUCUUCACUUAAACUUUCUAAUGUCUUUUUCUUUUACCUAAUUAAGAGAUUUUAAUAAAGACUUCAGCUAUUAAGAAAAUGAAUAAUGUUCUGUUUAAAUUUAUUUUACUUUUAAAUAAGUUCUAAUUCUUUUAUUUUUGGAGAAAAGUACAAAAACAAUUGUACAUGUUUGAUUUUAUUUGACAUUUUGGUAUUUUUACCUGCUGGUAUCACAAGUACUUUAUAAUUUAUCACCAAUAUAACAAAUACUUUAAUAGUAAAUAACUUUAGUUUUAAUACUAUAAUAUGACAAAAAAUUAAUAAUUAAAAAUGUUAAUUUUAUUUUCUUAUUUUGUAUCGAACUAUUAAAGAAAAAAAGAAAAGGGUAUUAAAGUGUUACAAAAAUAGAAAUCAUUAAAUCAAAUUAAAUUCAAUUAUUUAGUCUAUUUGCUUUUGUAUUAAAGUCAAUAUUUUAAAAACGGAACCGGUGUCCAAACCGGCCACCGGUUCAACCGCCGAUUGAACUAAUUGAGUGAAUUUUUUAAAAAAAAAUAAUGAAUUAGUUACAAAUUUUAGGUAUUUAGCAACGUAUUUCUCCGUCGCUAAUUCUCUUUGUCCGGCGGUUCAACCACCGGUUCGAUCCGGUCCAACCUGGUGGUACCAAAUUUCCGGUUUUUUGCAGUUUAUGGACUAGACCACUGGCCGGUUUUCGGUUCGACCGGACCGUCUGGUCUGGUUUUUUAAUCACUGAUUAAAGCGUUAACAAUUAACAUAGAUAGCUAUCACAUGUCUUUUGAUUUAAGAAUAAGUACUUUAAUUGACAAAUAAAUCACAUGCUCUUUUUUGUCAAUCGGUGAAACUUCAGAGUAGUUUUUUUGUACCUUUGUGUACCUUUUUUAAGUACUGAAGGGCAAUUUUUAUAAUUUAAAAGGAAAUAUUGGUCUUUAAGAUUUAGUUGGAAAAUCUGUCAAUUUACUUGAAGCAAGCAUAAUAAAUUAUUCUAUAGAAUAAACAGAUUUUUAAAUGAAUUUUAAAGUAAAUCAAACAAACAUACAAUAUUGUAGAUUUUCAAAUAAAUUCCUUAAAAAAAUUGAAAUUGAUUUACAUCAAACAUACUUCUAGAAUUUCUAUUAUCUGAACAUAACUUUUGAAUUUUUGGUCUUCUGAUAUUCAAACAUAAUUUAGUAAUUUUCAAUUUCAGAAAAACAAAAACUAACUAAAAUCUACAACGUCAAAGGGCAUAUUUUAAUUUUUAGUCGUGGUAGAAAUAGGGUUAUUUAACAUUGAACUUCAUGGAACUAAAUUGAUAAAAGAUUAAGGGACAAUUUACUAUAAUCCCUCUGAGUUUAGGGUUAUUAUUUUCUCAAUUUUUAUGUUUCAUACAACUGAAACAUACUUGCGAAAGGAGGUUUUAGUUGAAGAAAUUAAAAUGUUAGGGGGAAAUAGUAAUUUUUCAAAAUUCAUGGAGUUAUACAUAAACUCAUGGCGUGAUAGUAAUUAACCCAAAGAUCAAUCUUGUUAUGGACAUGAACCAAGACAAAUGCAUAUGUGUGAACCUUACACUGUCAUAUACAAUUGUUGAACAUAUUUUAAAAAGAUAGAUAUAUUAAACAAUCUCAAUAUGUAGUUUUUUAUGAAUGCAAAUUCAAUGUCCAUGGUGUGUGUGCAUUUAUUAUUUAUAUAUCAUAAUUUGACUAACUCUACACUUUAAAACCCUACUGAUUAGGCUUUAUUAAUAAUUCAUUGAAUUCAUAUACACAGGUUUAAGAAACCUGUUAGGUAAAUCACUACUAAGAUUUGAAACCCUACUGAUAAUUAGGCUUUAUUAAUCAGUCAAAGUAGCCAAAUCAUUUCAAUGACUGGGUGACAUCACACUUGAGAGAUAUACAUGAUUCAAGAUCCAGGUUGCAAAUUUAUUAUAGCAAUUUUAUAUCUUUAUUUGUUGGAAGAAUUUGGGAUGAGGAAGGAAAUUAAAUUGUGAAUUUCUAUUCUUGAUUGGCACUUAGUUAGUGGCCAAUUGGGGCAUAAGGUUCUAAAAUUAUUGAUAUUAAUUAAUAGAUGAUCUAAUUUUUUGACUCUCUUAGGAUAGUUGAUCUUAGUUUAACUAACACGUACCUAUACAUUAAUCUUUUUCUUUAAUGUCUAGCUAGUUUUCGUGUAGCCAGUAGCAUCGUUCGUCAUUACAAAAUUUGGAGUAAGGUCGUGGUCAUAUCAUUAUAAUUAUGAACAAGUCAAUAAUUAAUUAAGUACUCAAUGCUUCUUAAUGAAAUAAAGUUGUAUUAUAUAUGCUAGCUCCAAAUUGUAUGCAUCAACUAUACUACUUUCCAAUUGGCAAACGGAUAAAAUUAAACAAGUUCUAACUAAAGAUUAAGCACAAACUUUUGAAGGUUAGGUCAAAAGUCACCUAAUCCGGCCAUGAACAACGUGUACUCUACGGUAAGUGCGUGUUCGUAGCGAAUAAAGUUUACAGAAUUGAACAUGCUCUCAAAGUUGCAUUUGGUGAUGCAUGAUUCCCCAUUAUCAUUGUUAUUAAAUUAAUUAAUUGUGUCUGCUUUAAUUAUUUGUCCAUAUUAUUUUAGCCUUUAUCUAGUGGUCCAUAUUUUCUUAAUGCUUGUUUUCUGGAUUCCUUUUCAAAUUAGUAUUACUUAAUUGGUUUGUUAAGACUUUUAAUACAUUGUUAAUGUUAGUAAACUUAUUAGACUUUUAUAAGGAACACUAAUAGUGCUAAGAUUGGAGAAUAUAUUUUAAUGGGAGAGAUUUGUUUAUUAAACCCUAGGUGGGCUCCAAAGGUGCUAGCACUGCUGCUUUUACCAUUAGAAUGUUGUAUGCAAGUUACUAGGUAUUAUUAAUAAAUUAGGGUUCAUAAUUAAUAACAUGUGAAUCCAUGUGAAGAGGGUCCUAUGUGUUGCUAAUUUAAAUCCUCUUGGAUUCUCUGUGUCAAGAAAACAUCCUUGGGUUAAAGUUUUUUAAGGUUGCUGAAUUAUACGCUUUUUACAGACAAUUACCAUCGUUUAAUUAAUUUGUUACAUUAUGGUAAUUCAACUUUAACUUUUACAUCAACGCGGGUUGCUUUAGCAAUUCAAGCCAAAAAUUAUUUUAUGCGGCAACAAACACGUGAGAUAAUCACACACAUGUAGCCUCCUGUAGCAAAUGUUAUAUAAAAGGCCUAUAGUUCAGUAACCGUAAUUUUUUUUAACCCAAACACCAUUAAUAUCAAUACUAAUACUAAUUGUACUGAUCUUAGCUAGAAAGUAGUGCUUAAUUAGCAAUUCCUCCUUCUCCUUCAAGCUUUUGUUUGCGCUGUAUGCGGCUGCAGUUUAUAAUAUAGAUUUGAUGCCUGUGGAAAGUAGAUCAUCUUGUUACCUUCUUCAAACUUCAUUUCAUUUAAUGAUAUCUUAAAGCUCGUGGAUCGGCUUGAAUCCAUUCUUGAUCAGCAAUCUAAUUAUUGUACAAGAGAAAUGGUGUAAGCAACAUACUAUGAUUAGAUAUGGAGCUUCACUACUAGAAAACAACAAACUAACGUGUCGCUAAUUGAUUCCCUUCGGAUUUAUGCGACGGAAAAAUCUGCUGCUAUUCUUUUAGUAGUUUUAGAUUUAUAAUUACCAGCGGAAAAUUUAAGGAUGAUUGUUAGUAUCUAUUGACUAAUGGUUAGUUUGUAUAUGUCCAUUAGUUCCUCAUUAAUUUCCUAAUGCAAUUUUAAAUUGCAAUCAGACUCAAUGAUAAGAAAUAAAAAGACCAAGAUGAUCAGUUAUUGGUAAA